UUUAUAUAUCUUAUAUAGAGUUUAAUAUUGAAGAUAUUAAGGAAGAAAUUAAUUUCUUGUAAAU
rnacentral:tRNA from 1 species